UUCGCCCCAUGUACGCUAAUACCUGCGAGUUUACCCUUGCAACUAAUGUCGCAAGAAAUACGUUGCGACGCAACGAUAUGCCUUUAAGCUGGACACGGCCGACCGCAAUUAUCCGUUCAACUGGCAGAAAUGUAGCGCAGACGCGCGGUUACGUAUGCACGAGUAACGAGUCGUCGAAUGUAGCAAAGUUUCGAAGAAAGCAGCAGCCAGCGCGCAAGAGGAAAUGCCAACGUAAAUCUUCGAGUUAAUGUUGCUGAAACUCUGGCUAAGUAAAAAGAUAGCCAUGAUCGAAUUAAUACGGAGGAAUCGCCGUUGCCAGGAAAUUGUACGUACAAAAGCAUCCGAUCCCUUGUUCAAGCAACCUUUAAAUUCCAACGAUAAAUAUUGCUUUCCCGACUACGGAUUUCCGAUGUUGAUUGCGCGUUGGUCGAUGUUAAUUCGUUCUUUCGACACCCAACAGACGAUACGUUGCAUAAUAAUUUUUAAAAACACGUACUGCUCGUUAGAACUUUUUUUUUUCUAUCGUGCGUUACCACGUAACGCGCGUAUCUUAUCUUAUUUUUCUUUCUUCCUUUAUCUUUCUACGAGCUCCAGCCUUUUAUAACCCGUAUUAUCGCGCGAUACUAUAUUAUUCAAACUAUCCCUAUACUUCGAUUUCCAUCGCUGAGCAACGCUGAUAAACCGUAUCGCGAUUUUCCUCCAACAUUCCACCGGCCAACGUUAAAACGAAUCGCAUACUCGUUCGUAGUACACGAGCAACAAGUGGCAGCGAAGGCACGCCACGCGUUUCUAAUUUUUCGUACGAAUUCUUCGAUGAUGAACAGCUGGUGUAGCCAAGAAUCCAGCGCGGCGAUAUUCUACCUUCGAGAGCAAACACGAAUCGUAACUUAACGCUUAGCCGAUCGAACGGGCAGAUCUCCCUUUUUGACUUUAGCAAGGCGUUUUCUUUUUCCUUUUUUUUCGUUGUUGUUAUCAGUUAUUGUUUACCUGGAAUUGUUUCUAAUUAAUUGCGACAUUUUUUCUGCUUUUAUAAAGUACAGUGUAUAAUAAAAUACACCAAUUUGGUGGUGUUAAAAUUAAUUCAAAAGUUGCACCAUCAGUUAUGACUAAAUAAAGUUAUGAUGGAACGCUGUAAAAAAAAUAUUAAAACUCAUUAUGAAUUUUUAAUUUCACGUUCGAGUCGUGUUAUUUAUCUUUAGUCGUCUUUAAUGUUUUUAAUUUUACCCGUAUCUUUUUAUACUUUUAACAUAUACUUUUAAUUCGAUGUUUCGUAUAAACGAUAUUUGAAAUCGUUAAACAAAAUAUAAUUGACCAUUUAAAUAAUUUUUACGCUUCUUUAUUUUUCAAGUGACGAAUAUUAGUUUUCCUUGCUUGGAAAAAUGCACGGUGGACGGUGUAUAGCGAAUUUCCCUUAAAUCGCGAAAACUACGAGGAAGCAAAAGGAAGGGAAAGAUAUUAGGUUGUCCGAAAAGCUUCUUUCGUUUCAUAAGGCGAUAAUAGACGAACGACAAUUUCUGCUUUAUAUUAUUUUAUCGAAUUAGGUGUGUUCCAUUUCGUUCUAUUUCUAUUAUUACGUUCGUGCAUAAUUUAGUAAACUAACAUAAAACAAAAAACAUCGUGCGUCUAUUAUUUCCUUAUAAAACGAAAGAAACGUUUCGAACAACCUAAUAGAUCGCGCGCCGGAAGUAACCGAUCGAGAAACGAGCGAUUCGAAAGUCCAAAGCGAUUGCAUCCGCCUUAAGAAUCGUUAAGAAUCAACGUUCGUAAAAAAAUUAACAUUCGCGGCGAAAGCGAACAUUCCACGGCCAGAUUCGCUGUUCGAGAACGCGUAACGACCAAGAAACAGCGUAAUCCGACAUAACGCGCUAUCUCGCGGGUUAACGAGCUUCGAACACCCCACCGGUGUUCGACAUCUCGAGUUUCCCACACAGUGGCACCGAACGAUACGACGCGAUGCGACGCGCCAUCUUCUUUCGUCCACGUUUAUCCGCUAACUUGCGCGAUUUAUUACUCGUUCCGUUAUCGCGUGUUCGCGAACACACGUCGCGCGUUGCAUCGUUUAGUCGACAGAGAGGAUCGCGUUUGUCCCGACUGUCAAAUAUGUUAGCGCACGAACGAGCAGAUUCGAUAACCGUCGCGUAUCGGAAAUUCGAUUCUUGGUUCGCGAUUUCGUCGUCCAAAUCGUCUUGUAUCGAACGACUAACAAACGCUGACGCGGAAUUUAGCCCGAGUCACGGUGCUACUUACGAAAGCAUUUCAAUACCAUUUUCUCGACCCUCGAGUCGUCAAGUACAGUAACUAGAAAAGAUACUGUCGCGAACUUGGAUUUUGCAACGAAGCGUUCUUUCAUCGGGUAGCAAAUUCUCGUAAUCGUACGAAAGAUAUAAAACGACGCGAAUAUUUGGAUUCGAUCGAUCAGUGCGUAAAUCCUACAACGAUGACGCAAUGGCGGGUCAAUGGAAUAGUAAAAUUAGGAAUCGCCAUCCGAGUUCUUUUCCUCUUCUGUGUCACUAUGCAUACAUGGCGGAAGUUAACACCGGCGGCGAUUUGAACGCGUUCGAGAAAAAUGCGAUGAUGUCAGCGUAUUCACACACCUGGAGAAGGAUGUGCAACGAUAUCAAGAAACGACUCACCAUCGGAUAGGAAUCCAUAACGGGCCUGGUUCUGGGAGCGCUUUUCUCACUUUGUCAAUCUAUCGACCCUUUGCCGUUUCCCCUCUAAAACAGAACUUUAGAACUUGUGGUCCUCGCGUAGCUAAUCGGCGCGUAUUUCGUAUAACAGCGGAAACUUCAAGUCGUAGACAGCCACGCGGCACGUGCAUGCACUAACGUAAAGGUUAGUUCGACGAUUGACACAUAUAUCACACUUUCGGUGUUCCAAGCGUUUGUCUUCCUUCGUCGCUCGUCGUUUAACCCCCGAUGACGUAUAGCACGAUUACGCGGACGCAGCAAGAGGUUCGCGUGGAAACGUUGCACAAAGUUCGAAGCGUGAUGAGGCACGGUGAGAUUCUGUCACGAACGACGUUCGAAACCGCGUGUCGGUCGAUGGAUAACGCGACGUGCGCGCGCGUCGACGAUCGUAUUCAAGUGUCACGCGGGCAACGAGUUCAUCGAGUCACUCAGUCGGACUCGGGGAAAAUGUUUGCGGGCUUACCGGUGACGUCGGAAACGUCAGGCGAGAGCGCGGUGAGACGACGCCGGUGUCGGUGACGGGUCGCGGUAGCGCGCGUAUUUUCGAAAACCCGAACACGCCACCGCGCCGUCGCGAUUCGCGAUAACGGAGAAACGAGAGAGGACGAACCUCGAACGACGCACUAGGGAGACAAGCGAGACAGCCAGCCCGUGCGCGCGUUCGAACCGAUGCAUCGCGGCAGUGCGAUUCGAGCCGACUAUUCGUCCGCGUUCGUUCGGCCUCGGCCAAUCUCGGCCCCCUUCGGCGCGGCCGAGCCGAUGCGCGGGCGGCUCCGCCGAACGAGAACCGCUUGCGCUCGUCGCCGCGCCUCAGACAUUUCCAACGCUCAUUCGGAUCUUUCUGUCAAUGAAUCGAGUCAACGUGACUACCAAGUACACCGGUUUCGCCAACAUAGCCGGCAAAAGAAAUCGUUGCUUUCGUAUUACGGAUAUACUCUAUACGAACAACGAAUAUCGAUCGUUCACGUUCUGUUUGUUCGUUUGUUUUUUCAGUAAGGAUUAUGACAAGUAAAUGAAAAAUAUGGAAUCCUGUCAAAGUACAAACUGUUCGCUUUGCCAAAUUAGAUUCGAAUGCCAGUUGCGAUAGCGUUGUAGCCAUUCCAGAAAUUUACUUUCUCGUAUUUCAAAUAUAAAAAAUGAACAUUUCUCUUUCGUUUCGGGUUCAGUUCGACCGAAACCGGUCUACCGUUGACUCGUAAUUUACGCGAUACGAGUGGAUAAGGCGAGCGCAUAAUUUUAUCGCAGGGACGUGUUUAUGAUUUGUGAACGACACGAACGAUGCGAUUGGAUGAGAAAAUUUUUGGGAGUCGCGCGGCUAUUGCUAUAUCGAUGCCACGUAAAUACUUGGCGUUAAAUAGCGGCGAAUAUAAACCAGUAGAUGUAAUAAAUUGUUGCAGAAAACGUGUUAAACAAAUCAUGUUAGUGCUUCGAUUCGAAUUGGAGCGUGGCCCGCCAAGUGGACGAGGCAACGAGAUUCGUAUAUUUGUAAAAUUUUGCAAUACGCAAACGCGUCAAGUGCUAUUUGCCUUGCAAAAUAUAAACCGAUCCGUCAUGGUUGAGAAAUGUCAGAUAUCGUUUAUCCUGCAUCGAUAUCGACGCUAACUCGCUUUUAUAAAAAUCCCUACAACUAUACAAACAACGAGUCUAGAGUUUCACGAACGAGAUGUAGUUUAUGCGGAGGUUUCCAUAUGCGAUAAGCGUGCCACAACAUAUGCGGAAGCAAAACGCGUUACCGUGUCACAGUUCUUUCAACAACGGCUAAAUCAGUUGAUAAACGAUAAGGGUUCAAGCAUCUGCGAGUACUUUUACUCGACAUUAUGUACGUAACGCGAUAUCCGCGUUGGGCAAGUAGGAAAACUACGAUAUAUGCGACUCUAUUGGCCUGAUUGUACGAACAGCCUAACGCGCCGUCAUUUCUUUGCUCGAAACGAGACAGACGUUUCGAUACAAACGAGACGAACGAUAGGUAAAUGCGAUCGAAACGAUUCAGAAUAUCGAAAAACCGUGUUAUCCGAGAGGACAAGACGAUACUUUUUAUUAAAUGCUUCGAUUAUACCACUUUGAUAUGCCAUUGAUACUUUGGUUGUAACAGAUCUGUAAAAUAAUCACACGCGUUGUGCAGUUACGAAGAUGACGAAGGUAAUUAAAACAUCGACGAGAAAACGACGUUAAACGUGGUUAAAAGUGCCCGUCGAGGAUCAUAGAAAAAUGUAAUGAGAUUCAAUCGACGAUUCCACCGAUAUUUCAUCGUACAGAUUAUGUUAUCCUAGAAGAAUACGAAUAUAAAUAUCCAAUGAAAACAACUUACUACGCUACGAUAUACUGACGCACGUGAUUGAGCGCAAAGGUAAUACGUAGCCUGAAUCGCGCUCGUUCCAAUCGUUAAACGGCAUCUGGCACUUUACUCUAGUUUUGCAUAUCCGCUACAAUUGCGCGUAGAGAAAGAUCAACCUAUCUACGUGAUUUACAUUCCCUGGCUUUUGACCAAGUUUCCUCGCUAUGAUAUUGUACUUGAAUGAUCCGUAUAUUAGAUUUCAUCUGUCCAUUCGAAGACGCAACAACGACGAUCGAAGGACGAUCGAAAAACGAGAAAUACGUUGCAAUUAUCGAUGCAACGUACUUUAAACGAUCGAUUAAAAUCGUACGCUUUCUGUUACAUCAUGUUGUUACAAGUAUAACGAUUAGACGGUCUGUGUGUGUGAAAUAAAUCAAAGUAUCAGCUUCGAAUAAAUGCCAAGGAAGUUGAUAUAGACGUUUGCUCGAGUAGAUAAUGGUACGGAAAAUAGCGGUAAAAAUUGCAAAAUCUUAAACGUCCUGUUCUCGAUCUUGAACGCGAAAAUUGGAAUUACUACUUCCGGCGAUGGCGACAUAACGUUCCCAGAUAACGUAGCAACUUGUAACAAUGUCCUGACUAACGUGCGAUCGAUUCCUUUUCCAAUGAUUGUAAAACCGUGAUUCAGGUAAAACCAGUUUCUUCCUAUAUUCUCGACGAAUUCUAAAUUCCGUGAUCGUAGGACCACCGAGAGGUGGUCAUUUCCGGGCGUAUUACUCGUCGAUUUCACGUUCUGUGUAUUCAGGUACGCGUAUGCGUGUAUCCGUACGUAAUUACGUAAACCAGAUGAUACGAGCAGCGGUCACGGUUCACGAUUGCAGUUACUUAUACUGAAAUGACUGAGGUAAGAUGGAGUAAGUGCAGACUGUAAUUCCGUCUGAAGUAAAUGCGCCCACGCUGUCGCGCCAAAGAAGGUCAGAACCGAAGCACGGAUUUGUCGUAUUCGUUCAUAGAACGUUCAAACCAGCUUAAUAUACGAGCCGGCCACGGUUUACGUUCCCCUGUAAAACUUGUUCGUUAAUGCUCUGAAAAUGGUGCAAUAUUUUUGCUUAAUAACGCAGUCACGGGACACUAUGGUUCUCACAACUUCGACGCGGCUAUUCGCUCGUAAUGACCACUUUCUCGCCCUUCCUUCGCGCAUAACCUUUUCGACCAACAUAGAUAUCUUGUCCGUGGAAACGUUUAACAUGAUUCCUACACGACGCAAAUUAACCAGGAUAACGUACGAUGUUGCGCGUUUUAAGGCGAACCUAUCGAAUUCCAACAAAACCAACAUCUGCUCGGCAGUGUAACGUAAAUUCGAAAAUUCGCAAGACGCAUUGACCAUCCACUGUACGUAAACGAGCUUCGCAGAAUUUUACAGUGUCCUUAGCACGCACGCCUUAAUAAGCGGACGAAAAGGUAACAAAGGUCCUCGCGAAAAAACCCUCCCACCUCGUUCCUUCGUCGCAAAUUACGAUCCAUCGUCGAUGAAUACGAUCCUUUUUUCUUUUUUCUUUUUUCUUUUUUUCAACGGCAGAGAUAUUCCACCGUAGGGUGCGCAAUCUGUGGUGUCAAUUAACGUACGAAACGGCAAGAAAUAUUUCCGUACACGGACGACCAGUUGCAUGUAUUUUUAUAAAACACGAACGAAGGAUCACGCGCAGCAAGCAUAUUCUCGCUCUUUUACGCCGGCAAUAUAGUUCUUGUUAUUAAACCGUUACACAACCCGGCUCGUUCCUCUAUACAAGAUGUUAGAGAGGAUGUUAGACGUCCUAAUGUAGGGUAGUUUAUCUCUCCAUAGAAGGUAUAGCCGUAUUAGGAAAACCCUAUUCGCGGACUAUAAUAUUUCGUACGCAAUUACGAUUCAGACGUCAGCGACAAAGCUGAAACGCUGCAACAGUAUCACUCGGUAUGAUUGUAAGAUACGCUUAUACCGUAUUUAGCAGGCGGAUGCUUUAACGCGAACAUAUUGCACUUUCGAUAUACACGCGUAUACGUCUGUAUCUGGCACUAACAGUCAACGUUAUGAAAUGGAUUUAUAAUCGCGCUUCACGCGUUUCUCACUGUUACGCAAUCGAGCCACGUUAGCUAAUAAACUCUAUGAAAAUCAAGGUGUGUUUCGAUCCUUCCAGCUAACUCGCCGACGGGACGGUUUUUUAAAUAUUUCAUUUCAUGGGGAAACGGCGGAAAGUUCACGGGGACGCGUUGCGCGUUCCUUGCGUCGCAAGUUGAAAGAACGACGAUUCAAAGAGCAGAAACACGUACUUUGAGACAAAUACGCCGGUGAAUAUUAACGACCAUGUUAAUGGAAUUCCUUCGAUGUAAAUAUCGUUGUAUUAUAAUAUUCGAUCGCGUUAUAAUAAUAUUUACUACGAUACACGAUUUUCAUUUACGUUACGUAGUUUAAUUAGAAAGAAACGUCUCUACCAAAUAGCCAGGGAAAAUUUGAAUCGAAUUCUUCUAUUCGAAGUCUUAAAUCGCUAUGCCAACGAAAUAUUUAAAUUAAUCAACUUUUUCUAACAAAACAGGGGCUCCGCUUCAUACUCGGGCAUCGCAUAAAUAACUUUAAUCUCAUAAAUCUGCACGAAGCUUUACACACGGAUACGAUACGAACAGCGUAUAUACGAGAAGAGAAGCAGUCGCACGGAUGGAGGUCGUUUAAACCGAGUCGUAAGUGUUUGAACGAGCAGAAACCGGACGAUAGUGUUGGUGUACGCGUAGAAACAUGUACGCAUAACCAUGGAGACCGCGUGGGACCUGUUAGCCCCGCCCUAUACCGACCAGAUGUCAUUACUCAUUACGCGCUACGUCGUUGCGGGUUCCUCCUUCUUGAUUAAAGGGCCAGAGAAAAUCGUUCGAUCGGACAUCACCCCGUCUUUUUGCUUCUGUUCUUGCUGCGCGUUUCGCCUUGCUUCACAGGUGCGUGCUACGAAUCAGCAGCGAUCCCGAACUUAUUGUUCGGAAUUUUAAUUAGUUGCCAUAUCUUGUCGUCGGAGAGAAAUCUUUGGCAUCGGUUCUUCUCUACCAAAAUUUCUUGGAAUCGUAAUUCAGAACCACACCCCCAAUUUUUACCGGACAGAGGUAAGCCUCGAAGAUUAAUCGAACUUAUCCGAAGUUGUUACGGACCGAACGGUCGACCGAGACGGUUGAUACCUCGCGAGUCGAUGUAAUCGAGUUUUUCGUGCGCGAACGAUACGAUAUCUAGCGGUAGAAUCUAUAAAAACGUUGAUGCAGUUCGCGCAUGCUGAUCUGACACGUAGUUCGUGCAAUGAAAUAAUAAUAUCGCAGAAAGCGAUCGUUCGCGUCAUUCCCCGUGGAGACAUACGCGAUUCUAGACGGAACGCGGUUACGUACACCUGCCAACGUAACGACCAGCAGGAUUAUUCACGUAAUGUACCCAGCGGAGAUACACGAGUCACACCUGUUGCUUGGUUCGAUACACCGGGUGCUUUCUCGGUGUUCGUUCACCCGUGGCGUGCCAACGUUUCCCCUCUGACUCAUUCAUCCGCAAAAAACCUCCGAAUUAUCCACAACAUUUUGACCGGACAAACUCGCUGGUGACCAAAUUCGCGAAACUUCGUCCUUAUGACCGUCUAACGUAGUCGAAUAGGAGCCACGACCUGGGAGGCCUUUCAGAUAAUGCAGAAAGAAGAACAAAAUGACGAUCGAGGCUAAAGGAAGCCUGUCGAGCAUAUCUUAUAC